GAUCAACGCUGGCGGAGUGUAUAAUACAGGCAAGUCGAGCGAACAGACGAGGAGCUUGCUCCUCUGACGUUAGCGGCGGACGGGUGAGUAACACGUGGAUAACCUACCUAUAAGACUGGGAUAACUUCGGGAAACCGGAGCUAAUACCGGAUAAUAUAUUGAACCGCAUGGUUCAAUAGUGAAAGACGGUUUUGCUGUCACUUAUAGAUGGAUCCGCGCCGCAUUAGCUAGUUGGUAAGGUAACGGCUUACCAAGGCGACGAUGCGUAGCCGACCUGAGAGGGUGCUCGGCCACACUGGAACUGAGACACGGUCCAGACUCCUACGGGAGGCAGCAGUAGGGAAUCUUCCGCAAUGGGCGAAAGCCUGACGUAGCAACGCCGCGUGAGUGAUGAAGGUCUUCGGAUCGUAAAUCUCUGUUAUUAGGGAAGAACAAAUGUGUAAGUAACUAUGCACGUCUUGACGGUACCUAAUCAGAAAGCCACGGCUACCUACGUG
rnacentral:rRNA from 1 species